GACGAACGCUGGCGGCGUGCUUAACACAUGCAAGUCGAACGAUGAAGCCUAGCUUUCUCGCUGGUGUAGUUGCCAACGGGCGGGUAAGACGCGAGUAACUUACCUUCCACUCUGGGUUAAGCCUGGGAAACUGGGCGUAAUACCGGAUACGUAAAAUCUCCGCCUGGGGUGUUGGUGGAAAGAGGUAUGUAGUGGUUAUAGUUGGGCUUACGGCUUAUCAGCUUGUUGGUGAGGUAACGGCACACCAAGGCCACGACGGGUAGCCGACCUGGGAGGGUGACCGGCCUCACUGGGACUGAGGCACGGCCCAGACUCCAACGUGAGGCAGCAGUGGGAAAUCUUGCGCAAUGGGCGCAAGCCUGAUGCAGCGGCGCCGGGUGAGGGAUGACGUCCUUCGAGUUGUAAACCUAUGUUUGCAGGGAAGAAGAGAUAUUGACGGUACCUGCAGAGAAAGCGCCGGCUAACUACGUG
rnacentral:rRNA from 1 species